GCAAGCGGCAGGAGGACGUGGGACAAUGAGGAGGCGUCAUUAAACCUGUAAUUAACACUUUCUCCCUGCGGAGUGCAGCUCGAAAGUGUGGAUCAGAUGGAGAAGUGCUGUCUUUGUAAUAUCUUGAGCCCUUGACAGGAUAUCAUCAUAUACUGUAAGUUCGUUAUAGAGACACUACAGUAUAGAUGAUGUACUAUCCAGGGUGUCAGUCAGCCGCCAGACUCAGACCGACGCGCAGACACCCCCCAGGGAUUCCGUCUGAGGGUGGCGAUUAAACCGUUACCAUUACUGAGUUUUAGUAAUGGUAAGGGUUCUAUCGCUUCUCUUCACUGCCAUCUGCAGCUGAUAAACCCCCCCCCCUCCCAGGCAAGCAGUGACUUGUAAAACUGGAAAGUGUGGAGAAAAAGACUUUUGAAAAUGACGGACAGUCAAGAUUCCGUUGUGUAACCUUUAGUUUAAAGUAAACGAAUAAUGAAAUAAUUCCAUUUUUUGGCAUUUAGUAAAGUGUUUAGAAUGGUGAUUAAGCUGUAUAAUUUGACUCCUUAUAAUAUAAAUGAUAUGAGUUUUGAGCUUUCUAAAAUAUAGCAGUUAAAAUAUUUUUUUAUGUAUUAUAUAUUUUAUAUAAUUAUAUUUAUAUUGUAAAGCACAACAAGCAACAUUAAAAAAGGAACAUUAAAUGAUGAAUGAGCAUAUGGUUUUGGAAAUGUUUGGAAAUAAAAGAUGUUCAACUGA